GAUGAACGCUGGCGGCGCGCCUAACACAUGCAAGUCGAACGAAGCUUGACGGAUGAUUUCUUCGGAAUGAAACCAGAUAUGACUUAGUGGCGGACGGGUGAGUAACACGUGAGCAACCUGCCUUUCAGAGGGGGAUAACGGCUGGAAACGGUCGCUAAUACCGCAUGAUGUGUUCGGAUGGCAUCAUCUGAACAUCAAAGAUUUAUCGCUGAAAGAUGGGCUCGCGUCUGAUUAGAUAGUUGGUGGGGUAACGGCCUACCAAGUCUACGAUCAGUAGCCGGACUGAGAGGUUGAACGGCCACAUUGGGACUGAGAUACGGCCCAGACUCCUACGGGAGGCAGCAGUGGGGAAUAUUGCACAAUGGGGGAAACCCUGAUGCAGCAACGCCGCGUGAAGGAUGACGGUUUUCGGAUUGUAAACUUCUUUUCUUAGUGACGAAGACAGUGACGGUAGCUAAGGAAUAAGCAUCGGCCAACUACGUG
rnacentral:rRNA from 1 species